rnacentral:rRNA from 1 species
CUUGCUUCUCUUGAGAGCGGCGGACGGGUGAGUAAUGCCUAGGAAUCUGCCUGGUAGUGGGGGAUAACGUUCGGAAACGGACGCUAAUACCGCAUACGUCCUACGGGAGAAAGCAGGGGACCUUCGGGCCUUGCGCUAUCAGAUGAGCCUAGGUCGGAUUAGCUAGUUGGUGGGGUAAUGGCUCACCAAGGCUACGAUCCGUAACUGGUCUGAGAGGAUGAUCAGUCACACUGGAACUGAGACACGGUCCAGACUCCUACGGGAGGCAGCAGUGGGGAAUAUUGGACAAUGGGCGAAAGCCUGAUCCAGCCAUGCCGCGUGUGUGAAGAAGGUCUUCGGAUUGUAAAGCACUUUAAGUUGGGAGGAAGGGUUGUAGAUUAAUACUCUGCAAUUUUGACGUUACCGACAGAAUAAGCACCGGCUAACUCUGUGCCAGCAGCCGCGGUAAUACAGAGGGUGCAAGCGUUAAUCGGAAUUACUGGGCGUAAAGCGCGCGUAGGUGGUUUGUUAAGUUGGAUGUGAAAUCCCCGGGCUCAACCUGGGAACUGCAUUCAAAACUGACUGACUAGAGUAUGGUAGAGGGUGGUGGAAUUUCCUGUGUAGCGGUGAAAUGCGUAGAUAUAGGAAGGAACACCAGUGGCGAAGGCGACCACCUGGACUAAUACUGACACUGAGGUGCGAAAGCGUGGGGAGCAAACAGGAUUAGAUACCCUGGUAGUCCACGCCGUAAACGAUGUCAACUAGCCGUUGGAAGCCUUGAAGCUUUUAGUGGCGCAGCUAACGCAUUAAGUUGACCGCCUGGGGAGUACGGCCGCAAAGGUUAAAACUCAAUUGAAUUGACGGGGGGCCCGGCCACAAUCGGGUGGAGCAUGUUGGGUU